rnacentral:tRNA from 1 species
GGGCAGUUAGCUCAGUUGGUUAGAGCGCCUGCUUUACACGCAGGAUGUCGGGGGUUCGAAUCCCUCACUGCCCA